rnacentral:tRNA from 1 species
GCCUGCGUGGCUCAGUCGGUUAAGCGUCCGACUUCGGCUCGGGUCACGAUCUCACGGUUCGUGGGUUCGAGCCCCGUGUCGGGCU